AUUGAACGCUGGCGGCAGGCCUAACACAUGCAAGUCGAGCGGAUGAAGGGAGCUUGCUCCUGGAUUCAGCGGCGGACGGGUGAGUAAUGCCUAGGAAUCUGCCUGGUAGUGGGGGAUAACGUCCGGAAACGGGCGCUAAUACCGCAUACGUCCUGAGGGAGAAAGUGGGGGAUCUUCGGACCUCACGCUAUCAGAUGAGCCUAGGUCGGAUUAGCUAGUUGGUGGGGUAAAGGCCUACCAAGGCGACGAUCCGUAACUGGUCUGAGAGGAUGAUCAGUCACACUGGAACUGAGACACGGUCCAGACUCCUACGGGAAGCAGCAGUGGGGAAUAUUGGACAAUGGGCGAAAGCCUGAUCCAGCAAUGCCGCGUGUGUGAAGAAGGUCUUCGGAUUGUAAAGCACUUUAAGUUGGGAGGAAGGGCAGUAAGUUAAUACCUUGCUGUUUUGACGUUACCAACAGAAUAAGCACCGGCUAACUUCGUG
rnacentral:rRNA from 1 species